GAAAUGCGAUAAGUAGUGUGAAUUGCAGAAUUCUGUGAAUCAUCGAAUCUUUGAACGCACAUUGCGCCCUUUGGUAUUCCUUAGGGCAUGCCUGUUCGAGCGUCAUUUAAACCUCCAAGCCCUGCUUGGUGUUGGGUGCCUGUCCCGCCCCCGCGCGUGGACUCACCUCAAAUCCAUUGGCGGCCCCCGCAUGGCCACGAGCGCAGCAGAAACGCAAACUCGUGUGCCGGACCGGGCGGCUCCCAGAAGCUACACUCACCAUUUUUGACCUCGGAUCAGGUAGGGAUACCCGCUGAACUUAAGC
rnacentral:misc_RNA from 1 species